GGAGUUGUGGCUCAAUGGUAGAGCACUCAUCUAGCACAUGUGAGGCACUAGGUUUGAUCCUCAGCACCA
rnacentral:tRNA from 1 species